rnacentral:rRNA from 1 species
UCUGGUGACAAUGGCAAGGAGGUCACACCUGUUCCCAUGCCGAACACAGAAGUUAAGCUCCUUAGCGCCGAUGGUAGUCGGGCUUAC